CGGGAAGUGGCGCAGUUGGUUAGCGCAUCACGUUAGGGACGUGGGGGUCGUCCGUUCGAGUCGGAUCUUCCCGA
rnacentral:tRNA from 1 species